rnacentral:lncRNA from 1 species
UGAGAGCCAUGUCUCUGAAAGGACUUUUUUUUUUCUUUCCAGCUCUGUGUAUGAAAAUAGCAUCUUCAAAGUCACAGAAGAAACAGCCAAAAGUGAAUCCACAUUAAAUUCCGGUAGAAAUUUGGCACCCAGCAAACUCCUGGUGACUUUUAAGGAUGCUCUUUUGGGCAACUUCAAGAUGAAGAAAACAAAGACUUCCUGGCAGCUUGCUUUCUGACUCCCACUUACUGAGAUCCUAUUCUGGAAACCACUGCAUUCAAACGGAAUAAGUUACAAGAAUACUUUGUACUUUGACUUCCUUAGAAAUUUUUGCUUUGUGAAUCUUCAAAAUGAUCCUUGUGGCAUGAAUUAUGAAGACAGAAAGGGCUGCUGGGAUCGCCUAAUCAGAUUUCUUAUAGCAAAGAAACGCAAACAUCCUUACCAUCAAGAAGGCUAGGCGGGGCAGUACUGAAGGUAGGUUGUUUUUAAUCUCUGUACUGCCUGUAUGCUUAUGUUCACAUGUGCCUAUUUUGCCCUCUGGUUCAGAAAAAGUUGCUGUUUUUUUCGGAUGGAAUAGCUUUUGGGGAUAAGGAGAGAAGAAUCCAAG